AGUAAGCUAGGUGAUCGCGGAUACCGAAAGGUAUCCGAGGAAAGUCCGAGCUCCACAGGGCAGGGUGCUGGGUAACACCCAGUGGGGGCGACCCCAAGGAAAGUGCCACAGAAAUGCAGACCGCCCAAUACUCAGGCCAGCAGUAUGAGGUUUCCCCAUAUGGAAGCAAUUACUUAUAAUAUAAGGGAAAAUCUUAUUCUGCUGGGUUGAGUACUGGGUAAGGGUGGAACGGUGCGGUAAGAGCGCACCAGCGGUCAGGCGACUGGCCGGCUAGGUAAACCCCACCCGGAGCAAGACCGAAUAGGGGGACAAUGGAGUGGCCCGCUCCGUCCCCGGGUAUGGUCGCUUGAGGCGCCGGGCAACCGGCGUCCCAGAUAGAUGAUCACCCACGACAGAACUCGGCUUACAGGCUUACUCA
rnacentral:RNase_P_RNA from 1 species